rnacentral:rRNA from 1 species
UACGGAGGGUGCAAGCGUUGUCCGGAAUCACUGGGCGUAAAGGGCGCGUAGGCGGCUCAUGAAGGCUGUGGUGAAAGUCCGGGGCUCAACCUCGGAUCGGCCGUGGCGACUCGUGGGCUGGAGCACUGUAGAGGCGGGUAGAAUUCCGGGUGUAGCGGUGGAAUGCGUAGAGAUCCGGAAGAACACCAGUGGCGAAGGCGGCCCGCUGGGCAGUGGCUGACGCUGAGGCGCGACAGCGUGGGGAGCAAACAGG